AAAUUCGAGAUCACGAACUUGGAUCACUUUAAAAUUCAAAGUGUUUUGCAAAACUUAAAGCCUUUUGUAUUUGAACCGCUUGAAGUUUCUCUUGCCUAAGCGAAAUGGAUAAGCGUCACAUUUUAAAAACAAGCCUUUUAUAAGGAGUUCUUUUAUAAGCAUGAUUUCUCAUCAUUAUAAAACUGCUACCAACACUUAAAUUCAAUGGACCGAUAAAUCGGCAAAUAAACAGAUAAAGGCAAAUGGAUAGGUAAAUUGGUGGGCCUGGGAGGACUUGAACCUCCGACCUCACGCUUAUCAAGCGCGCGCUCUAACCAACUGAGCUACAAGCCCUCCGAGAUAAACCGGAAAACCUUCCCCAGCAUUAUCUAAAAAAGCAUUAUCUAAAAAAUCUCUAUCUCAUAAAAGCACCCUUUCAAAAAACAAAGAGCUUUCCUUAAAGCUUUUGAUGAGAGCUUACUUGCAUAGACCGCCAGAAGGCUUGGGAUCAUCAUCUGAA
rnacentral:misc_RNA from 1 species